GGGCCCGCACAAGCGGUGGAGUAUGUGGCUUAAUUCGAUGCAACGCGAAGAACCUUACCUGGCCUUGACAUGCAUCUCUAAGUGUGUGAAAGCACAUGACCCCUCGGGGAAUUUGCACAGGUGCUGCAUGGCUGUCGUCAGCUCGUGUCGUGAGAUGUUGGUUAAGUCCCGCAACGAGCGCAACCCUUAUGUUUUGUUGCCACUUUCGCUUCGGCGGAAAGCACUCUAAACAGACUGCCUCGUCUCAACGAGGAGGAAGGUGGGGAUGACGUCAAGUCAGUAGUGGCCCCUUACGGCCAGGGCUGCACACGUACCUACAAUGCCCAGUACAAUGGGAAGCAAUACCCGCGAGGUGGG
rnacentral:rRNA from 1 species